UUAAUAAAAGGCACGUAAUCACGGAAAUAGUAGAGAUUUUCGAGAGUUCUGUGAGUGAUAAGAGCCGUUUCACACAUUUUCAGAAUGAUGGCUGAAAAUGAGCGUGGAAGCAGACAGUGGAACAACGAUAAAUUUAUGGAUUUACGACGGACUUCGAUUCCCCGGGGUGGACACAGCAGAUAGUCCAAUGUGGUUUUGCUACGAAAACAAACAAACUCUAUUUUUUGAAAGUUGAAAGAAGAAUAGAUUGGAAACAUGUAUGAAAUGCUGUGUCACGAAAUUAUAAUUCGGAUAUUUCCAGUCUUUUAUUUCCUUA